GCCGGAGUGGCGAAACUGGCAGACGCGUACGGCUUAGGACCGUAUGGGAAAACCCUUGGGAGUUCAACUCUCCCCUCCGGCA
rnacentral:tRNA from 1 species